rnacentral:rRNA from 1 species
GUCCACGCCCUAAACGAUGCUAACUCGAUGUUUGGUUAUUAUGAUUGAGCAUCCAAGCGAAAGCGUUAAGUUAGCCACCUGGGGAGUACGACCGCAAGGUUGAAACUCAAAGGAAUUGACGGGGUCCGCACAAGCGGUGGAGCAUGUGGUUUAAUUCGAUGAUACGCGAGGAACCUUACCUAGGCUAGAAUGUGAGCGCUAUCUGGUGAAAGCCGGAGUUCCUUCGGGACGUGAAACAAGGUGCUGCAUGGUUGUCGU